CAAGGCACUUAGGGUUUCAGAAUCUGGUAGCCAGUCA
rfam:Heterocephalus glaber contig4129, whole genome shotgun sequence.